AAGCAUGGGGAGCAAACAGGAUUAGAUACCCUGGUAGUCCAUGCCGUAAACGAUGUCUACUAGCCGUUGGGGCCCUUGAGGCUUUAGUGGCGCAGCUAACGCGAUAAGUAGACCGCCUGGGGAGUACGGUCGCAAGACUAAAACUCAAAUGAAUUGACGGGGGCCCGCACAAGCGGUGGAGCAUGUGGUUUAAUUCGAUGCAACGCGAAGAACCUUACCUGGCCUUGACAUACAGAGAACUUUCCAGAGAUGGAUUGGUGCCUUCGGGAACUCUGAUACAGGUGCUGCAUGGCUGUCGUCAGCUCGUGUCGUGAGAUGUUGGGUUAAGUCCCGCAACGAGCGCAACCCUUUUCCUUAUUUGCCAGCACUUCGGGUGGGAACUUUAAGGAUACUGCCAGUGACAAACUGGAGGAAGGCGGGGACGACGUCAAGUCAUCAUGGCCCUUACGGCCAGGGCUACACACGUGCUACAAUGGUCGGUACAAAGGGUUGCUACACAGCGAUGUGAUGCUAAUCUCAAAAAGCCGAUCGUAGUCCGGAUUGGAGUCUGCAACUCGACUCCAUGAAGUCAGAAUCGCUAGUAAUCGCGGAUCAGAAUGCCGCGGUGAAUACGUUCCCGGGCCUUGUACACACCGCCCGUCACACCAUGGGAGUUUGUUGCGCCAGAAGUAGGUAGUCUAACCGCAAGGAGGACGCUUACCACGGUGUGGCCGAUGACUGGGGUG
rnacentral:rRNA from 1 species